CCUACGGGUGGCAGCAGUGGGGAAUCUUGCACAAUGUGGGACACCCUGCUGCAGCGACGCCGCGUGCGUGCAGACGUCUUUCGGUAUGUAAAGCUCUAUCAUCAGGAACGAGACAAGACGGUACCUGACUAAGAAGCCCCAGCUAACUACGUGCCAGCAGCCGCGGUACUACGUAGGGGGCAAGCGUUAUCCGGACUCACUUGGUGUAAAGGGAGCGUAGACGGCUGUGCAAGCCUGAAGUGAAAGGCGGGGGCCCACACCCUGGACUGCUUUGGGAACUGUACGGCUGGAGUGCAGGAGAGGUAAGUGGAAUUCCUGGUGUAGCGGUGAAAUGCGUAGAUAUUAGGAGGAACACCAGUGGCGAAGGCGGCUUACUGGACUGUAACUGACGUUGAGGCUCGAAAGCGUGGGGAGCAAACAGGAUUAGAUACCCCUGUAGUC
rnacentral:rRNA from 1 species